GCUGUAGCAUAGUGAUACAGCAUCUGCUUUGCCCGCAGAAGGUUCCAGGUUCAACCUCUGGCAUCUCCA